GCCUGGGUGGCUCAGUCGGUUGAGCUUCUGAUUUCUACUCACAUCGUGAUCUCAGGGUUCAUGAGUUCGAGCCCUGCCUCGGGCU
rnacentral:tRNA from 1 species